GCCUGAAUAGCUCAGUCGGUAGAGCACAAGACUCUUAAUCUCUCAAGGUUGUGGGUUCAAGCCCCACACUGGGCA
rnacentral:tRNA from 1 species